ACAACCAGCAUGCAUAGACAACUCACCACCGAAGCCUGGGCUAAAUCCUCAUCACUGGCAAUGCAAGGACAAUUCAUUAUAUGGAGAAAAAAUAUGAACCCACCAAAGCGAAUGAAUGGGGAGAACAUAAAUCUUACGUUACGGCAAUAGGACAUGAGUAAAGAAAAUAGAGAACACAUAAUGAAGAGUUUGGGCCUCUUAUGCUCUUUUUCCCCCAUUUUUUUUGUUGAUUUUAUCAAAAAUAUUUAAGAACCGUGAGUUUCUGGAUCCAGGGGACCUGCGUGUUAUCAGUAGCCCAACGACUGGUCUCCUUCCCCGGCCACACAGCCACCCCACGGCUCGGUACAAUGGCUACUCCUUUACACACAGCAGUCGCUAUCCGGAGAGAGACCUGAACAUGGUCUUCAUCGUGUAGGGAAGCAGAAGAUCGGUUCUCCUUCAUGAAAAAAAAUCGAAGGGGGUGAAUUGACUGAGCUGGGUUUUGGGAUCCUAUGAUAAGGCUGCUGGCAGCCAAUACAUCCUACUGCAGUAGCCUACAACUGAACCAGACCCACACCGACCCAGCCCAAACCAAGCUCGACCCAGGGCUACUGUUUCCCGGACUACUAGGGCUGUGACCUGUGUUAAAUGUGGUCAGCCGAGGCGUCACUUUUCGCAGAUCUGAGGCUGUUGCUUUUUAGCGUCCUCCAGGGAUUCCAAACUGCUCUUCCCGGAGAGGCGACUCACUCGGCGGACAGGAGGAGCCAGACAAGCCGCUGCCUGGUUGGAAAACCAGCAUGGAGCAAGAGGCAAUGGACAGAGCGUUGCAGACAGCUUUUUGGUCUCACAGAAUCGUAAGGCUAUAACAAGAAACCUGGUGCGAUGGACUAAAGGUUGUUCUGAAUGUUUAAUUAACUAUUGAUUGAUUUUAUUUUCAGGUGGUCACUUAUUUUCUUGCGAGGACGCAGACUAAUACACUCGUAGCAGGCGACUGUGAGGGACGUGUCCAUAUAUUGCAGACAUUCACUUGUUUUUUGUUUUCACGGUGAAAGAAGAAAGUAAGGCGGAUUUAAGGGCCUGAUACUCUUUAUCUUAACCUCAUGCAUUUGUAAAUCCCCCGGUCGCCUCCCUCUCACUGUUCCAGCAGACGAUGCUCUUUCUCCGGAGGCUGCUUGACAAAAGACCAAGUUAACUAACAUUUCGCCCCAUUUCCAUAUCUCAGAAUCCCCAAUUAAUUAUAUAUUAUCUGUAAACUCAGAGUGUGUGUGUGUGUCCUCAGGUUAGACUGAAGGGUGAAAUAAAACGAUUAAAAAA